GGAGUCAGCCAGGCAAUCGCCGGCUGCGGCUCAGGCUGCGGCCGGAGGAAAGUCCGGGCUCCGGCUGAACAGGGCGCCAGGUAACGCCUGGGGGGCGCGAGCCCACGGAAAGUGCCACAGAAAACAGACCGCCGGCACCGGAAACGGUGCAGGCAAGGGUGAAAAGGUGCGGUAAGAGCGCACCGCGCGGGUGGUAACACGCCGCGGCACGGUAAACCCCGCCCGGAGCAAGACCAAAUAGGGGAGCAUGCACUGGCUGUUGCCGGUGCACCGGUGUUCACCCGGGCUCCCGGGUAGGUCGCUAGAGGCUGCCGGUGACGGCAGUCCCAGAUGAAUGAUUGCCCUCGACAGAACCCGGCUUACGGCUGACUCCUCAU
rnacentral:RNase_P_RNA from 1 species